rnacentral:rRNA from 1 species
GACGAACGCUGGCGGCGUGCCUAAUACAUGCAAGUAGAACGCUGAAGGAGGAGCUUGCUUCUCCGGAUGAGUUGCGAACGGGUGAGUAACGCGUAGGUAACCUGCCUGGUAGCGGGGGAUAACUAUUGGAAACGAUAGCUAAUACCGCAUAACAGUAGAUAUUGCAUGAUAUCUGCUUGAAAGGUGCAAUUGCAUCACUACCAGAUGGACCUGCGUUGUAUUAGCUAGUUGGUGAGGUAACGGCUCACCAAGGCGACGAUACAUAGCCGGCCUGAGAGGGGGGGCGGCCACACUGGGAGGGAGACACGGCCCAGACUCCUACGGGAGGCAGCAGUAGGGAAUCUUCGGCAAUGGACGGAAGUCUGACCGAGCAACGCCGCGUGAGUGAAGAAGGUUUUCGGAUCGUAAAGCUCUGUUGUAAGAGAAGAACGAGUGUGAGAGUGGAAAGUUCACACUGUGACGGUAUCUGACCAGAAAGGGACGGCUAACUACGUG